AUUGAACGCUGGCGGCAUGCCUUACACAUGCAAGUCGAACGGCAGCACGGGAGCAAUCCUGGUGGCGAGCGGCGAACGGGUGAGUAAUACAUCGGAACGUGCCCAGUAGUGGGGGAUAGCCCGGCGAAAGCCGGAUUAAUACCGCAUACGACCUAAGGGUGAAAGCGGGGGAUCGUAAGACCUCGCGCUAUUGGGGCGGCCGAUGACAGAUUAGAUAGUUGGUGGGGUAAAGGCCCACCAAGGCGACGAUCUGUAGCUGGUCUGAGAGGACGACCAGCCACACUGGGAAUGAGACACGGCCCAGACGCCUACGGGAGGCAGCAGUGGGGAAUUUUGGACAAUGGGCGCAAGCCUGAUCCAGCCAUGCCGCGUGCGGGAAGAAGGCCUUCGGGUUGUAAACCGCUUUUGUCAGGGAAGAAACGCUUCGAGCUAAUACCUUGGAGUAAUGACGGUACCUGAAGAAUAAGCACCGGCUAACUACGUGCCAGCAGCCGCCGUAAAAC
rnacentral:rRNA from 1 species